rnacentral:tRNA from 1 species
GGAUGUGGCUCAAGUGGUAAUGUGCUCGCCUGGCAUGCGCAGGAUGCUGAGUUCGAUUCUCAGCACCA